rnacentral:tmRNA from 1 species
UGACUAAGCAUGUAGUACCGAGGAUGUAGGAAUUUCGGACGCGGGUUCAACUCCCGCCAGCUCCACCA